rnacentral:lncRNA from 1 species
AUGAAUGCGUGCCUGGGGGCCGGCAACACCGUGGGUGGUCCCUCUUCCUCCUGCGAAGAGCUGGAGGCCAAGGGAAGGGGAGGUCAGAGGGAGAGCUGCUGCCCCGGCUUGUCCUCCAGGCUCCAGAUUUCUCCUCGGCCUCGGCUGGGCCCUUGGAGUCCGGCCCCACGGGCGCAGGCUGGGAGGCCAUCCUGGAAGCGGCCGCGGUGCAGCGGCGCUCAGGCCUCGGCGGCGUCCCCGGCCCGCCUGGCCGGAAGGGGCUCCGUCCCCGCGUCGCGGGCCUCGGGGACGCGGGGGCGAGGCCCGCUCGGCCGAAACUCCUCUGUCUCACCGGCGCGGCCCGGCGCUUCCCGGCGGGGACAGGAGCGCAGCCCCCCGUGGGUCUGUGCGGCUCCCGAGACAAGCAGGACCCUCCGACGGGGCCGCCCUCGGCGCACAGAACAGCCGCAGGGCCCGGAGAGCGCGGCGCCCGCCGCCGGGUCCUCCAGGGAAGCUGGCCGUGGGGGCCGCCCCGCCCGCCUCCGUCCCCGCCGCGUCCCCCGGGCGCCCCCGGCCCGCGCCGCCGCCCGCGGACCUCGUCCUGGGCCCUGGGGCUGCAGCCGUCUUCGGAGCCAACUAAACAUCCAUCUAAUGCUCUGCUGGGCGACACAGAUAUCGUGCUCCACAAAACGGUGCAAAGCUGGUAUUUUUAGGAGGUGGCGGACGUGUCUUGUGAUGAGCCAGGUCGCAGGUCUGGAAGAAUGUUUUGUGUCCCAAAGAAAAGUAGAAGCCAGGCUCCCGGGCAGCGGCGGGCGGGCCUCGCGGGGCGGGCAGGUGGGCCCCAGGCUGGCCCUGCCCCGGGGUCGUGUCACCACCGUUCACGAAGCGCCUCCCGUGUGCGAGCCGCCAGGCCGCGGCUGUCACCGCAAACCUGGCCGAGACGCGCACCAACGCCGAGUGACAGAAAGGGACUUCCCAUCACCCAGACGGGCGGGAAGGUUCCGCGGCCCCGCGCGAAACGGCCCCAGCUGGAGCCGGGCGAACGCAGGGAACCGACACGCGACGGCGCGCGGGGCUGGAAGCAGCCGUUCACAGAAAGCACGGAAACACCCCAAACCCGAGAGGCCCGAAGUCAGAGGGCGUUCUCCCGGGGAGGGGCUGGGAGGGGCUCCUGGGUGCUGA